rnacentral:lncRNA from 1 species
AAGAUGUGCCUGCUUCACCUUCUGGCAUGAAUGUAAAUUUUCUGAGACCUUCCCAGCCAUGUGGAACUGUAGUUGGGAGCCAGGGAAGGAGUGACACUAUCCCUAGAUGUAGUGAUAUGUUUUACAGGCCCACAGCUGGGAGGAGCUUUCCUUGAUUCUCAAAUGAGACUUUGGACUUUGGACUUUUGAGUUUGUGCUGAAACAAAUUUUCGGCAUACCAUCACGAACUCCAUGGGCGUCAAGAAGCAAUGGGUGUGGAUGUAGAAGCAGCCUGGAUUGCAACUGUGGUGGUGUAUUCUUGAACUAUAUUGUUCUAGUAGUGGUUUCUAGCUUUCUUGCUUUUCUGACCAUGAUACAAUGACUAGCUCCCUUGAUGGGUUAGUUCUGAAGGUUCAGAGAGUCUCUCCUCAGGCCUACACAAGCUGACUACUGCUCACUUUAUGUAAUGUGGGCCUACACAAGCUCACUGCUGCUCUUUCUAACAUGUCUAUAUAUUCUUCAUUAACUCUAUUAGAUCACUUUCUGCUGAAAGAGAUCAGUGUGCUUUCUGUUUCCUGAACUCAACCUUGAGAAAAAUA